UACGUAGGGCGCAAGCGUUGUCCGGAAUUAUUGGGCGUAAAGAGCUCGUAGGCGGUUUGUCGCGUCUGCUGUGAAAACCUAAGGCUCAACCUUGGGCUUGCAGUGGGUACGGGCAGACUAGGGUGCGGUAGGGGUGACUGGAAUUCCUGGUGUAGCGGUGGAAUGCGCAGAUAUCAGGAGGAACACCGAUGGCGAAGGCAGGUCACUGGGCCGCAACUGACGCUGAGGAGCGAAAGCAUGGGGAGCGAACAGG
rnacentral:rRNA from 1 species